AUUGAACGCUGGCGGCAGGCCUAACACAUGCAAGUCGAGCGAGAGGCGGACGGGGGAGUAAUGUAUGGGGACUGCCCGAUAGAGGGGGAUAACUACUGGAAACGGUAGCUAAUACCGCCUACUAUAGGAUUACCCAUAGGGGAUUAGCUAGUGGGUGAGGUAAUGGCUCACAUAGGCGACGAUCCCUAGCUGGUCUGCGAGGAUGAUCAGCCACACUGCGACUGAGACACGGCCCAGACUCCUACGGAGGCAGCAUUGGGGAAUAUUGCACAAUGGGCGCAAGCCGGAUGCAGCCAUGCCGCGUGUAUGAAGAAGGCCCUAGGGUUGUAAAGUACUUUCAGUCGGGAGGCGUUACCGACAGAAGAAGCACCGGCUAACUCCGUGCCAGCAGCCGCGGUAAUUC
rnacentral:rRNA from 1 species